UCCAGGCCCUACGGGGUGCAGCAGGCGCGAAACCUCCGCAAUGUGAGAAAUCGCGACGGGGGGAUCCCAAGUGCCAUUCUUAACGGGAUGGCUUUUCAUUAGUGUAAAGAGCUUUUGGAAUAAGAGCUGGGCAAGACCGGUGCCAGCCGCCGCGGUAACACCGGCAGCUCUAGUGGUAGCAGUUUUUAUUGGGCCUAAAGCGUCCGUAGCCGGUUUAAUAAGUCUCUGGUGAAAUCCUGCAGCUUAACUGUGGGAAUUGCUGGAGAUACUAUUAGACUUAAGAUCGGGAGAGGUUAGAGGUACUCCCAGGGUAGAGGUGAAAUUCUGUAAUCCUGGGAGGACCGCCUGUUGCGAAGGCGUCUGACUGGAACGAUUCUGACGGUGAGGGACGAAAGCUAGGGGCGCGAACCGGAUUAGAUACCCGGGUAGUCCUAGCUGUAAACGAUGCGGACUUGGUGUUGGGGUGGCUUUGAGCUGUCCCAGUGCCGAAGGGAAGCUGUUAAGUCCGCCGCCUGGGAAGUACGGUCGCAAGACUGAAGCUUAAAGGAAUUGGCGGGGGAGCACCACAACGCGUGGAGCCUGCGGUUUAAUUGGAGUCAACGCCGG
rnacentral:rRNA from 1 species